UACGUAGGGGGCAAGCGUUGUCCGGAAUCAUUGGGCGUAAAGCGCGUGUAGGCGGCUCGAUAAGUCUGCUGUGAAAGUCCAGGGCUCAACCCUGGGAUGCCGGUGGAUACUGUCAAGCUCGAGUCCGGAAGAGGCGAGUGGAAUUCCUGGUGUAGCGGUGAAAUGCGCAGAUAUCAGGAGGAACACCGGUGGCGAAGGCGGCAUCCUGGACCGAGAUUGACGCUGAACGGCGAAAGCUAGGGGAGCAAACGGG
rnacentral:rRNA from 1 species